rnacentral:misc_RNA from 1 species
GUCCCUUCUCUACUACCUAUAUAAUUAUUGCAUAAACAGAUUAUGUUUGUGCACUGAUAUAGAAUCAACACACAGCCCCGGCCGCCCACUUUCUCUGUUUCUUCCCACUUCCAAGACACACAAAAAUAUGGAAAGAGGGUGCAUAGAAGAAGGGCUGCCGACGACGAGGCCUUUGCUUCUUGAUGCACAGCCGCCGCCCAACACUAUUCAUGAGAUUAGUAACUUCAACAGAGCGGCCAGAGAUUCCUCCAUCGCUUCAGUUCUUUUCCUUAGCACCUUCAUCGCUGUCUGUGGCUCCUUCUGCUAUGGCUGUUCCGUGGGUUAUUCGUCGCCGGCAGAAUCUGGAAUCAUGCAAGACUUAGGCCUCUCUUUGGCAGCAGUUAGUAACUGACCAUUUCCGAUGAUGAUGAUAAGAAAAUACCUUCGAUUUAGUGAAACUUAAUUUAAUGGCUAUAGGCAUAUUGUUCAAUUAAGAAACUCGAAUUUAAGUACUUACUCUCCAAUCUCUCAACUAAAAACAUAUGUAAAUAAAAAAAGUACUCCUAUCUAUUGAAUGAACAUUAUUUCUGUGAACUGUGCAGUACUCAGUUUUUGGGUCCAUACUGACAAUUGGAGGAAUGAUAGGUGCAAUUAUAAGUGGGAAGAUAGCUGAUGUUGUCGGUCGGAGACGAGUAAUUAAAUCUUUUUCAAGAACCCUAUUAAUUAAGUUUAAUUAAAAUCUGCAUGCAGUCUUGAAUCAGUUAAUUAAUUUGGUGUUCAUUUGAAGCAGACAAUGUUAUUAGCAGAAUUAUUCUGCACUCCAGGGUGCCUUGCAAUAGCAUUUGCCAAGGAUGCAUGGUGGCUGGAUAUUGGAAGACUGUUGAUUGGACUUGGAGUAGGGCUUCUUACUUAUGUGGUACCUGUAUACGUGGCAGAAAUUACACCUAAGAACCUCAGAGGACGAUUUACGUCAGCCAAUCAGAUGUUAACUAGUUGUGGCUUUGCAUUCUCAUACUGUAUUGGAAAUAUAAUUUCUUGGCGCACCUUGGCUCUACUUGGUUCUAUUCCAUGCCUGUUGCAACUUCUGGGUUUAUUUUUUAUUCCUGAGUCUCCUAGAUGGCUGGCGAAACGUGGCAGAGAAAAAGAAUUUGAAGCUUCUUUGCAACAUCUUUGGGGAAAAAAUGCAGAUGUAUCUGUAGAAGCAAUGGAUAUAAGAGAUAUUAUCGAAAGCUUUCAACACAAUUCAGAAGGCAAUGCUCUUGACUUGUUCCAGAGGAGAUAUUGUUAUUCGAUCAUUGUUGGAGUAGGGCUAAUGUUACUGCAACAAUUUGGAGGGAACAGUGGCGUGGUAUAUUAUAGCAGUACCAUAUUUGCGGAAGCUGAUUUUUCUACAAUUCUUGGAACUACAGCGUUAGCUAUUAUAUUGGUAUGUACUUGAUUUUGUGCUUAGCUCGCGUUCAAAUAUUAUAGCUCCCAGAAAAUGUUUUGCAGCUGGUAGCAGCUACUGUGAGUCUACUCCUAAUGGAUAUAUUUGGAAGACGAACUCUCCUGAUGGUUUCUUCUGGAGGAACAUGCUUGUUCUUGUGCCUAGUUGGAUUAUCAUUCUUAUUGAAGGAACAUGGAUAUUUGAAGGAGCUCACUCCAUUUAUGGCAUUUGCUGGCUUAUUGGUAACUCAAAUUGGUGGUUGAUAAAACUGAAAAUUAAAACUUAAAAUAUUAUCAAAUAAAUCUUAAAAAAAAAGAAAUACUAUUUCAAGUGUUAUAAUUGUGUUAUGACAUUACAAUCUCGAUUGAUACGGCUGCGAGCAGGGUUAUCUCGCAGCUUUUGGAGUAGGCAUAUCAGGAAUACCAUGGGUUAUCAUGUCAGAGAUAUUUCCUCUAAGUGUCAAGGCCUCAGCUGGAAGCCUAGUUACCUUAACCAAUUGGUCCUGCUCCUGGCUUGUGUCUUACACAUUCAACUUUAUGAUGGAAUGGAGCUCUGCAGGCACAUUUUUCAUCUUUGCGACUAUGUGUGGUUUCACUGUUUUAUUUGUUUGGAAGUUGGUGCCAGAGACCAAAGGACGAACAUUGGAAGAAAUUCAAGCAAAAAUGGUUUUUAAUCCACAAGACAUAUGAUGAGUUAUUUUUUUUUUUUAAUGUAAUUGUAAAUUA